GCUGGAGGAAAUCUCAAGUUAAUUAUGAUGCUUAAAAUAUUUAUUAGAAUCAUAUAUAUCAACUAUUUUCAAGUCUUACAGCUCAACGUAUAUUUAACAUUACAACAUUGUCUCAAAUUAGGGCAACCUGUUAUAUAAUGUAGCUAUUGGCUCUCUUUUUCUUGGAAUGGGGUAAGGAAGGAGAAUAAGUUAAAUAAAUCAACUUUGAGGUGAGAUAUAAUAAAGAGGUCUUCACCCCAGUCAUUUUGCUCCAAAACACUUCACCACAUCUCGAGCCCUUAGCUUAAACAUAUCUUGUAGCCAUGCCAUGUUAAUUCAGUGUUGGUUUAUCCUUCCAAGGAGUACUACCUUUCUAGGUAGUAUGAUAAUCUUCUUGUUGGUUAGUAUAGCCCUAGG
rnacentral:lncRNA from 1 species